AAUUCAGGUAAAGGUAUUGGGGGAACUAGCUAGGACCCUUGCCUCUUGGUCAGGUUUCACUGUGUGGAACAAAAUAAAUAAUAAGGUGAUAGGGGCCUGCAAGUGGGGGAAGGACAUCUGCACCUAGCAGAUUAAUUGGACAGGUGAAAGUAACCACAAAGCAAGGCUUAGUUAACAGGCUACUCCAAGGAGAGCCAUCUACACUUAUGCAGGAGACAACAAUGUUAGACAGGAAUGAGGAGUCAGGCAGGCCUUGCUUGGUACAAAUAGAUGUCAUGUGGCCUGCUAUACAAGGCUGCAUAUAGUUGUUGGGCAUGGGCCUUACUAUGUACUAAAACUUAGGUUAAAAGAAAAUUUGGGACAACCUGAAGUGAUACUUCUCCACAGAUGCUAACUCAUCGUUGAUGACAUUGUUAAUACAGGUAGCCUGAUCAGCCAAUUUAUCUUAGGCUUAAACAAGUCACACCAUGUAGUGGAAUUGGUCAUUAGGAUUCGGGAAAUUCUACAGUAAAAGGGCAUAGUAAGGAUGUACGCGAUGUUACUUUAGGAGUAGGCGUGGCUGUGGAUAGGGGGAAAUCAGCCUUAUCCAUUCCCAUAUAUUAUUCCUUUUGUCUUCAGUAUAUCCAAACCAUGUGUAUGUCCAGGCGUUGCAAUAUACAGUAAUCCAUUAUCAGUCAUGAUAUUAAAAUCUCAUUCUCAUGAAUUAAAUCAAAGAUUUUAAAUCAACCUCAGAAGCAACAAAGAAUAAAUCUAUUGUUUUUUCUUCUGUAAAAUGAUUGGAGUUACUAUAUAAUUGCAUACACCCAAUAUAACAUUGCAUGUUCCUCACUGCUACAUUAGUGUAUUUCAUUCUGCCAUAUGUGCAAACUUGAUUUAAAUUUUUAUUUUAAUUAACCUAAUACUUUCUUAUAACACAUAUAAAAACAAUGAAAGACAGUACAGACUAACAAUUCAUUUAAAACAACAAACUAACAUAGAUCUCUAUUCUUGUGCUGUUCUUAAUUCUGGAAUCAGCCUGUGUACAUCUGUUGGCAGACAUAUCCAUGCUCAUUCCCUAAACUGAUCAUAUCUCUUGAAGUUAUCUGAUUCUUAUAACUUUCUGUGUUACGCUGCAUUGCUUGUCUGUCUCCUAAUUUCCAUAUAUUAUUUUAUCAUUGUCCUGAAAUUUUACAAGCGUGGUCAGUCU